rnacentral:rRNA from 1 species
AGUGAACGCUGGCGGUAGGCCUAACACAUGCAAGUCGAACGGCAGCACAGUAAGAGCUUGCUCUUACGGGUGGCGAGUGGCGGACGAGUGAGGAAUACAUCGGAAUCUACUUUUUCGUGGGGGAUAACGUAGGGAAACUUACGCUAAUACCGCAUACGACCUACGGGUGAAAGCAGGGGAUCUUCGGACCUUGCGCGAUUGAAUGAGCCGAUGUCGGAUUAGCUAGUUGGCGGGGUAAAGGCCCACCAAGGCGACGAUCCGUAGCUGGUCUGAGAGGAUGAUCAGCCACACUGGAACUGAGACACGGUCCAGACUCCUACGGGAGGCAGCAGUGGGGAAUAUUGGACAGUGGGCGCAAGCCUGAUCCAGCCAUACCGCGUGGGUGAAGAAGGCCUUCGGGUUGUAAAGCCCUUUUGUUGGGAAAGAAAAGCAGCAGGUUAAUACCCCGCUGUUCUGACGGUACCCAAAGAAUAAGCACCGGCUAACUUCGUG